UACGUAGGGUGCGAGCGUUAAUCGGAAUUACUGGGCGUAAAGCGUGCGCAGGCGGCGCGUUAAGACAGGUGUGAAAGCCCCGAGCUUAACUUGGGAAUUGCGCUUGUGACUGGCGUGCUGGAGUGUGGCAGAGGGGGGUGGAAUUCCACGUGUAGCAGUGAAAUGCGUAGAGAUGCGGAGGAACACCGAUGGCGAAGGCAGCCCCCUGGGCUGACACUGACGCUCAGGCACGAAAGCGUGGGGAGCAAACAGG
rnacentral:rRNA from 1 species